UCCAGUGAUGGCACAUCUUUGAGACCUGAGUUCUCUUCCUUGAUGAAAAUUAUUAGCAUAAUCCCUGAGGGC
rnacentral:snoRNA from 1 species